UGUUAACAGACACAGAGAACAGAAGGAAUCAAGACCCUUGGGCUGGAGCAAGCUUGUGACACAAUGGCAGGGAUCAGCAAACUUGCUCUGCAAAGAGGCAAAAGAUGCAAUGGAUGGAGCUCUAGCCACAGUUUUGUACCAUCAAGACAAGGGCCUCCCCGUAAAAAUGAUGGAAGAUCUGGACGUAGGUCCCUGAGGAUUCAAGAAGUAGAAGUAUGACACCAGCCUUUAAUUGACUACUCCUUGACUUUUACAUGAAAGACAAAAA